rnacentral:rRNA from 1 species
CAUUGGGACUGAGACACGGCCCAGACUCCUACGGGAGGCAGCAGUGGGGAAUAUUGCCACAAUGGGGGAAAACCCUGAUGCAGCAACGCCGCGUGAAGGAUGAAGGUCUUCGGAUUGUAAACUUCUUUGAUUGGGGAAGAAGAAGUGACGGUACCCAAAAAACAAGCCACGGCUAACUACGUGCCAGCAGCCGCGGUAAUACGUAAGGUGGCAAGCGUUGUCCGGAAUUACUGGGUGUAAAGGGCGUGUAGGCGGGGAUGCAAGUCAGGUGUGAAAGCCCAUGGCUCAACUGUGGGACUGCAUCUGAAACUGAAUCUCUUGAGUACUGGAGAGGGAAGUGGAAUUCCUAGUGUAGCGGUGAAAUGCGUAGAGAUUAGGAGGAACACCAGUGGCGAAGGCGGCUUCCUGGACAGUAACUGACGCUGAGGCGCGAAAGCGUGGGGAGCGAACAGGAUUAGAUACCCUGGUAGUCCACGCCGUAAACGAUGGAUACUAGGUGUAGGAGGUAUCGACCCCUUCUGUGCCGGAGUUAACACAUUAAGUAUCCCACCUGGGGAAUACGACCGCAAGGUUGAAACUCAAAGGAAUUGACGGGGGCCCGCACAAGCAGUGGAGUAUGUGGUUUAAUUCGAAGCAACGCGAAGAACCUUACCAGGGCUUGACAUCCCUUGACAGCUCUAGAGAUAGAGUUUCCCUUCGGGGCAAGGAGACAGGUGGUGCAUGGUUGUCGUCAGCUCGUGUCGUGAGAUGUUGGGUUAAGUCCCGUAACGAGCGCAACCCUUAUUGUUAGUUGCCAGCAAGUAAAGUUGGGCACUCUAACGAGACUGCCGGUGAUAAAUCGGAGGAAGGUGGGGAUGACGUCAAAUCAUCAUGCCCCUUAUGUCCUGGGCUACACACGUACUACAAUGGCUGGUACAGAGGGGAGCUAAGCCGCGAGGUGGAGCCAAUCCCCAAAACCAGUCCCAGUUCGGAUUGCAGGCUGCAAUUCGCCUGCAUGAAGUGGGAAUUGCUAGUAAUGGCAGGUCAGCAUACUGCCGUGAAUACGUUCCCGGGCCUUGUACACACCGCCCGUCACACCAUGAGAGUUUGCAACACCCNGAAGUCAGUAGUCUAACUUAUGAGGACACUGCCGAAGGUGGGGCGGAUGAUUAGGGUGAAGUCGU